rnacentral:lncRNA from 1 species
CUUGCUUAGCCUGGGAGGGGAACAGAAUAUUUGAGUUACCUUCUUCAUCCAGUGACAUACUGAUAUGUCACAUACAUAUCAGUAAGUGACCUUGGCUUAGGUUUUACCAGGGUUUUUUCUUUUCUUUUCUUUCUUUUUUUUUUUAUAACAGAUGUGAGACAAAAUAGCUUAUGGUGCUAAGCCUUGAAUUUGCUCAGAAAAUGAAAAACAAAAAUAAAGCCCUCGCGGCUAAGUUGCUUUAGAAAAUUGCCAAUAGAAAGAAAUGUUCAUGCUUUUCUACAUGAGCAGAGAAAUGUCCUGCCCUGUGACACUCCCUGGCAAAGUCACUCCAUCUCUAUGGAAUAUGCCUUGCCUGGCCUCUGAGGCUGUGGAAGCGGCCAGCGGUACCCAGCCCUCUUAUCCAGGCUGUACUCAAGACAGAAAAUCACAAGAGUCAACCUCAGGGAUUUCAUCUUCUACUUGGAACAGGAAAGAAAAACAAGCCACUAUCUUCUGCUCUAUCAAGCCUUGCUUAAAUAAAGCCAAUCAUUUCCCUGGCUUCCUCAGAGGGAAGCUCAGAUGAACAUUUAAAAUCUGUCAUUUUCAUGUGCCUUCUCUUUUUGUUUUCUCAGAUGUCAGGCUUUGGUUUAUGUAAAAAUUAAGAUGCAAUAAAUCCUCCCAGCCAGAAACGAAAGCA